rnacentral:tRNA from 1 species
AGCAAUGUGGCUUAGUAGAAAGAGCACGGAUUGGGAAUCAGAGGACAUGGGUUCUAAUCCCACCUCUGCCA